rnacentral:rRNA from 1 species
UACGGAGGAUGCAAGCGUUAUUCGGAAUUAUUGGGCGUAAAGCGUCCGCAGGUGGCAUUUCAAGUCUGCAGUCAAAGACCGAAGCUUAACUUCGGAAAGGCAGUGGAAACUGAAAAGCUAGAGUACAGUAGGGGUAGAGGGAAUUUCCAGUGUAGCGGUGAAAUGCGUAGAGAUUGGAAAGAACACCAGUGGCGAAGGCGCUCUACUGGGCUGUAACUGACACUCAGGGACGAAAGCUAGGGUAGCGAAAGGG